ACGAACGCUGGCGGCGUGGAUAAGACAUGCAAGUCGAACGAGAGAAUUGCUAGCUUGCUAAUAAUUCUCUAGUGGCGCACGGGUGAGUAACACGUGAGUAACCUGCCCCCGAGAGCGGGAUAGCCCUGGGAAACUGGGAUUAAUACCGCAUAGUAUCGAAAGAUUAAAGCAGCAAUGCGCUUGGGGAUGGGCUCGCGGCCUAUUAGUUAGUUGGUGAGGUAACGGCUCACCAAGGCGAUGACGGGUAGCCGGUCUGAGAGGAUGUCCGGCCACACUGGAACUGAGACACGGUCCAGACACCUACGGGUGGCAGCAGUCGAGAAUCAUUCACAAUGGGGGAAACCCUGAUGGUGCGACGCCGCGUGGGGGAAUGAAGGUCUUCGGAUUGUAAACCCCUGUCAUGUGGGAGCAAAUUAAAAAGAUAGUACCACAAGAGGAAGAGACGGCUAACUCUGUGCCAGCAGCCGCGGUAAUACAGAGGUCUCAAGCGUUGUUCGGAAUCACUGGGCGUAAAGCGUGCGUAGGCUGUUUCGUAAGUCGUGUGUGAAAGGCGCGGGCUCAACCCGCGGACGGCACAUGAUACUGCGAGACUAGAGUAAUGGAGGGGGAACCGGAAUUCUCGGUGUAGCAGUGAAAUGCGUAGAUAUCGAGAGGAACACUCGUGGCGAAGGCGGGUUCCUGGACAUUAACUGACGCUGAGACACGAAGGCCAGGGGAGCGAAAGGGAUUAGAUACCCCUGUAGUCCUGGCAGUAAACGGUGCACGCUUGGUGUGCGGGGAAUCGACCCCCUGCGUGCCGGAGCUAACGCGUUAAGCGUGCCGCCUGGGGAGUACGGUCGCAAGAUUAAAACUCAAAGAAAUUGACGGGGACCCGCACAAGCGGUGGAGUAUGUGGCUUAAUUCGAUGCAACGCGAAGAACCUUACCUGGGCUUGACAUGUAAUGAACAACAUGUGAAAGCAUGCGACUCUUCGGAGGCGUUACACAGGUGCUGCAUGGCCGUCGUCAGCUCGUGUCGUGAGAUGUUUGGUUAAGUCCAGCAACGAGCGCAACCCCUGUUGCCAGUUACCAGCACGUGAAGGUGGGGACUCUGGCGAGACUGCCCAGAUCAACUGGGAGGAAGGUGGGGACGACGUCAGGUCAGUAUGGCCCUUAUGCCCAGGGCUGCACACGUACUACAAUGCCCAGUACAGAGGGGGCCGAAGCCGCGAGGCGGAGGAAAUCCUAAAAACUGGGCCCAGUUCGGACUGUAGGCUGCAACCCGCCUACACGAAGCCGGAAUCGCUAGUAAUGGCGCAUCAGCUACGGCGCCGUGAAUACGUUCCCGGGUCUUGUACACACCGCCCGUCACAUCAUGGAAGCCGGUCGCACCCGAAGUAUCUGAAGCCAACCGCAAGGAGGCAGGGUCCUAAGGUGAGACUGGUAACUGGGAUG
rnacentral:rRNA from 1 species